GAUUAGGUGCCUGACUCUGAGGGUGUGGGUUCGAAUCCCGGAUGGGACUCAACCCAACAAAAAGUACUAGAAUCUGUACUUUACUGAGAAAGUGUAAUCCCAAAUAUAACACAUGUUACAUUUGACCACUUUCUAAAUGACACUGUGUAAUCAAAGUUCAUUAUUGUUC